rnacentral:misc_RNA from 1 species
CGGUUCGAGCUACAGAUGCCAAACAAAGAAGAAUCGAAGGUGGCCAUGCAAAGAGAUCGAAGAGGGGUGGAAGAUCAAACCACACACGCCCACAAAAAGAGUGUGAGAGUGAGAAUAGGAUCAAACGGAGAAGUUCUAACCACACACAUAUGGAUACCCUUAAAUGUUUAAUUUAUAAAUUGACUCUGUAUCUGCUGCUUUUUCCAUUCUUAAACUCCACUUCUUUUAACCAUGGCUACCAAGAACAUUAGCUUGGAGGAAAUUAAAAACGAGAAUGUCGACCUUGAGCGCAUACCAGUUGAUGAAGUGUUUCAGCAACUGCAAUGCACCAGAGAAGGUUUGUCAACAGAGGAAGGAGAGAAGAGGCUGCAGAUCUUUGGGCCCAACAAGCUCGAAGAGAAAAAGGAAAGCAAGCUUCUGAAAUUCUUGGGUUUUAUGUGGAAUCCGCUCUCAUGGGUCAUGGAAAUUGCUGCAAUCAUGGCCAUUGCUUUGGCUAAUGGAGGGGGUCAGCCACCAGAUUGGCAGGACUUUGUGGGUAUUGUGGUGUUGCUUUUCAUCAACUCCACUAUUAGUUUCAUUGAAGAGAACAAUGCAGGUAAUGCUGCAGCUGCUCUUAUGGCUGGACUAGCUCCUAAAACCAAGGUCUUAAGAGAUGGAAGGUGGUCCGAGCAAGAAGCUGCUAUAUUAGUUCCAGGGGAUGUGAUCAGCAUCAAGUUGGGAGAUAUUAUCCCAGCUGAUGCUCGUCUUCUGGAGGGAGAUCCUCUGAAGAUUGAUCAAUCUGCUCUCACAGGUGAGUCCUUGCCCGUGACCAAGAACCCAGGUGAUGAAAUCUUCUCCGGAUCUACCUGCAAGCAAGGUGAGAUUGAAGCUGUUGUAAUUGCCACUGGGGUGCACACCUUCUUCGGUAAAGCUGCUCAUCUUGUGGACAGUACCAAUCAAGAAGGCCACUUCCAGAAGGUGCUGACGGCUAUCGGGAACUUUUGCAUAUGCUCCAUUGCAUUAGGAAUGGUCGUUGAGAUAGUAGUAAUGUACCCAAUUCAGCACCGCAAGUAUCGAGAUGGAAUUGACAAUCUUUUGG